UACGGGGGGGGCAAGCGUUGUUCGGAAUUACUGGGCGUAAAGGGCUCGUAGGUGGCCAACUAAGUCAGACGUGAAAUCCCUCGGCUUAACCGGGGAACUGCAUCUGAUACUGGAUGGCUUGAGUUUGGGAGAGGGAUGCGGAAUUCCAGGUGUAGCGGUGAAAUGCGUAGAUAUCUGGAGGAACACCGGUGGCGAAGGCGGCAUCCUGGAUCAACACUGACACUGAGGAGCGAAAGCCAGGGGAGCAAACGGG
rnacentral:rRNA from 1 species